rnacentral:rRNA from 1 species
CAAGAGAGAGAAGAGCAUACGGUGGAUGCCUUGGCGCGUUGCGGCGAUGAAGGACGUGGUGAACUGCGAAAAGCUGUGGGGAGUCGUAAACAGGCCGUGAGCCACAGAUAUCCGAAUGGGGCAACCCCCCUGCCGUCAUGGGCAGGGAUUCGUUCCUGAAAGGAGUAGGGGGCGAAGGCGAACCCGGGGAACUGAACCAUCUUAGUACCCGGAGGAGGAGAGAUCAAGAGAGAUUCCCGGAGUAGCGGCGAGCGAAAGGGGACGAGCCUAAACGUUUUCAGUGGAAAGCUCGUAUGCGUUGCUGAAAGCGGGUUGUGGGGCAGUUCUGGCGGAGGAUACGACCUCCGCGACUGCGUACGACUGGUGACGAGAAGGGUCCUGGAACGGCCCGCCAUAGAGGGUGAGAGUCCCGUAUGGGAAGCCAGGCGUGGUGGUUGAGGAUUGACCCCGAGUACCACGGGACACGAGAAACCUUGUGGGAAGCUGGGAGGCCCACCUUCCAAGGCUAAAUACGUCAACGCGACCGAUAGUGAACCAGUACCGUGAGGGAAAGGUGAAAAGAACCCAGCUGUCAGAGCCUCCAUGCGGGGCGAUGGCGUGCCUAUUGCAUAAUGAGCCGGCGAGUUACCGUGGGCUGCGAGGUUAACACAAGACGUGGCAGCCGGAGCGAACGCGAGUCUGAAGAGGGCGAAGAGUAGCGCGCGGUAGACCCGAAGCCGAGUGAGCUAUCCAUGGGCAGGUUGCAGCGUCCGUAACAGGACGUGAAGGACCGCACCCACUCAGGUUGAAAACUGAGGGGAGGACCUGUGGAUAGGGGUGAAAGGCCAAUCAAACUCGGAGAUAGCUGGUUCUCCCCGAAAUUGCUGUAGGGCGAGCCUCUGGUGGUGAGUGGUGGGGGUAGAGCACUGAUUGGGUUAGGGUCCUUCGCGGGAUACCGUCCCCAGUCAAACUCCGAAUCCCAUCAACGUCGAGCCAGGGAGUGAGACAGUGGGGGAUAAGCUUCAUUGUCGAGAGGGAAACAGCCCAGACCAUCAGCUAAGGUCCCUAACGGUUUGUUAAGUGGUGAAGGAUGUAGAGAUGCAGAGACAGCCAGGAGGUUGGCUUAGAAGCAGCCACCCUUGAAAGAAAGCGUAAUAGCUCACUGGUCAAGUGGCUCUGCGCCGAAAAUGUACGGGGGCUGAAACAAACGACCGAGGCUAUGGAGUCAUUCUGCGGAAUGACUGGUAGGGGAGCGUUCACUGCGCCGAGAAGUCGUUCCGUGAGGGGCGGUGGAGCGGAGUGAAGUGAAGCUGCCGGCAUGAGUAACGAGAAAACAGGUGAGAGUCCUGUUCGCCGAAAUUCUCAGGGUUCCUUGGGCAAGGCGAGUCCGCCCAGGGUUAGUCGGGAUCUAAGCCGAGGCCGAGAGGCGUAGGUGAUGGCAAACCGGAGAAUAGUCCGGUACCACCGGUUUCGUGUUUGAGCGAUGGGGGGGACGUGUCAGGAGAGGCCAGCCUGUCAGUGGUAAUACAGGUGGAACCCGGGAGGAGGUUGCUGAGGCAAAUCCCAGCAGCAGGGACUCCGAGCGGGGAGACCGGGCCGGAGGGCCAGAAGUGGUUGAGCUCCUGAGACCAAGAAAACCCCUCUAGUGAAUGGAACGGGUGUCCGUACCCGAAACCGACACAGGUAGAAAUGGAAGGGCUCCACAGGCGUGUGAGCGAACCCUCGUUAAGGAACUCGGCAACAUGACCUCGUAACUUCGGGAGAAGAGGUACCCCAUGACCGUGAGGAGAGCGAUACUCUGAGCGAGGCGGGGUGGCACAGACCAGGCCCAGGCGACUGUUUACUAAAAACAUAGGUCUCUGCGAAGGCGCGAAGCCGCAGUAUAGGGACUGACGCCUGCCCGGUGCCGGAAGGUUAAGAGGAGGGGUUACCAUCUUCGGAUGGGACGCGCUGAAUCGAAGCCCCGGUAAACGGCGGCCGUAACUAUAACGGUCCUAAGGUAGCGAAAUUCCUUGUCGGGUAAGUUCCGACCUGCACGAAUGGCGUAAC